UCCGGUUUGUCACCGGCGGUCCCCUUAGAGUUCCCAACUUAAUGCUGGCAACUAAGGGCAAGGGUUGCGCUCGUUGCGGGACUUAACCCAACAUCUCACGACACGAGCUGACGACAGCCAUGCAGCACCUGUGCUCCUCCCACCCGAAGUGAAGGGAUCCAUCUCUGGGUCCCAUAGAGGGCAUGUCAAGGCCUGGUAAGGUUCUUCGCGUUGCCUCGAAUUGAACCACAUGUUCCACCGCUUGUGCGGGUCCCCGUCAAUUCCUUUAAGUUUCAACCUUGCGGCCGUACUCCCCAGGCGGGAUGCUUAACGCGUUAGCUACGCCACCGAGAGGUAACCUCCCGACGGCUAGCAUCCAUCGUUUAGGGCAUGGACUAC
rnacentral:misc_RNA from 1 species